GCGAGCGAAAGAAAACAGUUCAGCACUAAGUCACUUUGUCUAUAUGGCAAAUGUGAGAUGCAGUGUAUGGAGCGUCAAUAUUCUAGUAUGAGAAAUUAAUGAUUUAAGUCCUUCUUAAAUGAGGCCAUUUACCCAUAGAGGGUGCCAGGCCCGUAUAACGUUAAUGAUUGCUAGAUGAUGUUUCCAAAGAGUCGUGUUGCUUGAUAGUGCAGCACUAAGUGGGUGGUAAACUCCAUCUAAAACUAAAUAUAACCAUGAGACCGAUAGUAAACAAGUACCGUGAGGGAAAGUUGAAAAGAACUCUGAAUAGAGAGUUAAACAGUACGUGAAACUGCUUAGAGGUUAAGCCCGAUGAACCUGAAUAUCCGUUAUGGAAAAUUCAUCAUUAAAAUUGUAAUAUUUAAAUAAUAUUAUUAAGAAUAAUGUGCAUUUUUUCCAUAUAAGGACAUUGUAAUCUAUUAGCAUAUCCCAAAUUUAUCAUAAAAUAUAACUUAUAGUUUAUUCCAAUUAAAUUGCUUGCAUUUUAACACAGAAUAAAUGUUAUUAAUUUGAUAAAGUGCUGAUAGAUUUAUAUUAUUACAGAGCGUUAAUUUUUCGGAAUUAUAUAAUGGCAUAAUUAUCAUUGAUUUUUGUGUUUAUUAUAUGCUCUUGUAUGAUUAACAAUGCGAAAGAUUCAGGAUACCUUCGGGACCCGUCUUGAAACACGGACCAAGGAGUCUAACAUAUGUGCAAGUUAUUGGGAUGUAAACCUAAUAGCGUAAUUAACUUGACUAAUAAUGGGAUUAGUUUUUUAGCUAUUUAUAGCUAAUUAACACAAUCCCGGGGCGUUCUAUAUAGUUAUGUAUAAUGUAUAUUUAUAUUAUUUAUGCCUCUAACUGGAACGUACCUUGAGCAUAUAUGCUGUGACCCGAAAGAUGGUGAACUAUACUUGAUCAGGUUGAAGUCAGGGGAAACCCUGAUGGAAGACCGAAACAGUUCUGACGUGCAAAUCGAUUGUCAGAAUUGAGUAUAGGGGCGAAAGACCAAUCGAACCAUCUAGUAGCUGGUUCCUUCCGAAGUUUCCCUCAGGAUAGCUGGUGCAUUUUAAUAUUAUAUAAAAUAAUCUUAUCUGGUAAAGCGAAUGAUUAGAGGCCUUAGGGUCGAAACGAUCUUAACCUAUUCUCAAACUUUAAAUGGGUAAGAACCUUAACUUUCUUGAUAUGAAGUUCAAGGUUAUGAUAUAAUGUGCCCAGUGGGCCACUUUUGGUAAGCAGAACUGGCGCUGUGGGAUGAACCAAACGUAAUGUUACGGUGCCCAAAUUAACAACUCAUGCAGAUACCAUGAAAGGCGUUGGUUGCUUAAAACAGCAGGACGGUGAUCAUGGAAGUCGAAAUCCGCUAAGGAGUGUGUAACAACUCACCUGCCGAAGCAACUAGCCCUUAAAAUGGAUGGCGCUAAAGUUGCAUACCUAUACAUUACCGCUAAAGUAGAUGAUCCCAAAUUACUUGUGAUAUAAAUUUUGAAACUUUAG
rnacentral:ncRNA from 1 species